GAGGUGACACAGAGGGAGGUCUCCCAGACUUCACCGAACCUGGGGCAACCGGUUUCUCUCUCUCCCUUCUGGAGGCCCCUCCCUCUCUCCCUCGUUGCCUAGGGAACCUCUGCCCUGGCUGGGGCCCUAUUGUUCUUUGAUCAGAGCUUUAGUUUUCUUUGUGUGUUGGUUUCUUUCGUGUGCAUAGACUCUUCUACUUGGGAUUUAGGAGGGGUCAGUUUAAUUUUCAAGUCGCCCCUCGGCUCCCCCCACUACCCACGUCCCUUUACCUUCAUUUAGUGAGUCAGUUAGGUGGGUUCCCCCCAAACCCCCACCCCCCGCCUCCCAACACCCUGCUUGGAAACCUUCCGGAGCCACCCCGACAUCCCAGAUUUGAUCUCCCUACCGAACGCUGUACAGAACUGGUGAGUCAAUUUCUGGACUUGGAUACCUCAUAGAUACUACAUAUUAAUAAAGAUCCAGCCCUAAAAUCUGGGGUUGCAUCUCCCUCGACUGUCUCAAAAAAUCAUACCUCUGUUCACCUAGGAUGCUGGGAGGGUUUUCUCAAUGUGCAUCUGCUCGUGUCCUUCAUGACCUGUGACCGAGCCCUGUCUGUUCUGUCUCAAAUAUGUAUCUGCAAACACUUCUCUCCAUUUCCACAACUACCCACGGCCCAUUGUGGAACCACUGGCUCUUUGAAAAAAAAUCCCAGAAGUGGCUUUGGCUUUUUGACUAGGAGGUCUAAACCUGCUGAGAACGUUUCUGCCCAGUAUUCUGUGUGAACAAAAGUGCCUCUGCUGGGAGCUGGGAUCCUCCAGACCAUGCUUGCUAGCGCUGGAUGAGUCUCUGGAAGGACGCGCGGGACUCCGCAAAGCUGACUUGUCCCACCGAGAUCAAAUGGAUACCUCUGCAUUGGCCAGAGGCCUCCAACUUACAUCACUGUGACCAUCACCGUCAGCAUCCUUGUGAGCCUGCCCAAGGCCCCAACUCCGGGGAGACUCUUGGGAGCCCGGCCUUCCUCGGCUAAAGUCCAAAGGGAUGGUGACUUCCACCCACAAGGUCCCCAGUGAACUGUGAAGAUGUGGAGCAUAGGUCAGAGAGGGGACCAGGAGGGGAGACGUCUUGACAGGCGAUGAGUUCCCUAGGCUCUGGCCACCCCACUCACGUCC
rnacentral:lncRNA from 1 species